rnacentral:rRNA from 1 species
CCUACGGGGUGCAGCAGUGGGGAAUAUUGCGCAAUGGGCGAAAGCCUGACGCAGCGACGCCGCGUGAGGGAUGAAGGUCUUCGGAUCGUAAACCUCUGUCAGCAGGGAAGAACGGUCACUGUGCUAAUCAGCAGUGAAUUGACGGUACCUGCAAAGGAAGCACCGGCUAACUCCGUGCCAGCAGCCGCGGUAAUACGGAGGGUGCGAGCGUUAAUCGGAAUUACUGGGCGUAAAGCGCUCGUAGGCGGUAUGUCAAGUCAAGGGUGAAAUCCCCGCGCUCAACGUGGGAACUGCCUUUGAAACUGGCAAACUGGAGUGUGUGAGAGGAUAGUGGAAUUCCAGGUGUAGGAGUGAAAUCCGUAGAUAUCUGGAGGAACAUCAGUGGCGAAGGCGACUAUCUGGAACAUAACUGACGCUGAUGAGCGAAAGCGUGGGUAGCAAACAGGAUUAGAUACCCUUGUAGUC